CAGGGAAUCUUGCGCAAUGGGCGAAAGCCUGACGCAGCAACGCCGCGUGGGUGAUGAAGGCUCUUGGGUCGUAAAGCCCUUUUCUGGGGGACGAAGAACUGACGGUACCCCAGGAAGAAGCCACGGCUAACUACGUGCCAGCAGCCGCGGUAAUACGUAGGUGGCAAGCGUUGUCCGGAGUUAUUGGGCGUAAAGCGCGCGCAGGCGGCCCGACAAGUCCAUGGUGAAAGCGCCCGGCUCAACUGGGCGAGUGCCGUGGGGACUGUCGAGCUGGAGGGAAGCAGAGGCGAGUGGAAUUCCGGGUGUAGUGGUGAAAUGCGUAGAGAUCCGGAGGAACACCAGUGGCGAAGGCGGCUCGCUGGGCUUUACCUGACGCUGAGGCGCGAAAGCGUGGGGAGCGAACCG
rnacentral:rRNA from 1 species